rnacentral:rRNA from 1 species
GACGAACGCUGGCGGCGUGCUUAACACAUGCAAGUCGAACGGAGUGGCGAACGGGUGAGUAACACGUGGGUGACCUGCCCUGCACUUCGGGAUAAGCCUGGGAAACUGGGUCUAAUACCGGAUAGUGUGGGAUGGGCCCGCGGCCUAUCAGCUUGUUGGUGGGGUAAUGGCCUACCAAGGCGGCGACGGGUAGCCGGCCUGAGAGGGGGGACGGCCACAUUGGGACUAAGAGACGGCCCAGACGACGGCUGGGGGCAGCGGGGGGGAAUAAUGCACAAUGGGCGGAAGGCUGAUGCAGCAGCGCCGCGUGGGGGAGGACGGCUUGCGGGUUGUAAACGCCGUGCACCAUCAACGCGGUAGAGUGAGAAGAAGAACCGGCUAACUACGUGCCAGCAGCCGCGGUAAUUC